rnacentral:rRNA from 1 species
UACGUAGGGUGCGAGCGUUAAUCGGAAUUACUGGGCGUAAAGCGUGCGCAGGCGGUUUUGUAAGCCAGAUGUGAAAUCCCCGGGCUCAACCUGGGAACUGCAUUUGUGACUGCAAGGCUGGAGUACGGCAGAGGGGGAUGGAAUUCCGCGUGUAGCAGUGAAAUGCGUAGAUAUGCGGAGGAACACCGAUGGCGAAGGCAAUCCCCUGGGCCUGUACUGACGCUCAGUGCACGAAAGCGUGGGGAGCGAAACAGG